rnacentral:rRNA from 1 species
AUCAGGCCUAACACAUGCAAGUCGAACGAAGGCUUCGGCCUUAGUGGCGCACGGGUGCGUAACGCGUGGGAAUCUGCCCUUGGGUUCGGAAUAACAGUUAGAAAUGACUGCUAAUACCGGAUGAUGUCUUCGGACCAAAGAUUUAUCGCCCAGGGAUGAGCCCGCGUAGGAUUAGGUAGUUGGUGGGGUAAAGGCCUACCAAGCCGACGAUCCUUAGCUGGUCUGAGAGGAUGAUCAGCCACACUGGGACUGAGACACGGCCCAGACUCCUACGGGAGGCAGCAGUGGGGAAUAUUGGACAAUGGGCGAAAGCCUGAUCCAGCAAUGCCGCGUGAGUGAUGAAGGCCUUAGGGUUGUAAAGCUCUUUUACCCGGGAUGAUAAUGACAGUACCGGGAGAAUAAGCCCCGGCUAACUCCGUGCCAGCAGCCGCGGUAAUACGGAGGGGGCUAGCGUUGUUCGGAAUUACUGGGCGUAAAGCGCACGUAGGCGGCUAUUCAAGUCAGAGGUGAAAGCCCGGGGCUCAACCCCGGAACUGCCUUUGAAACUAGGUAGCUAGAAUUCUGGAGAGGUCAGUGGAAUUCCGAGUGUAGAGGUGAAAUUCGUAGAUAUUCGGAAGAACACCAGUGGCGAAGGCGACUGACUGGACAG